UACGGAGGAUCCAAGCGUUAUCCGGAAUCAUUGGGUUUAAAGGGUCCGUAGGCGGGCCUGUAAGUCAGUGGUGAAAUCUCCCCGCUCAACGGGGAAACGGCCAUUGAUACUGCAGGCCUUGAAUUAUUAGGAAGUAACUAGAAUAUGUAGUGUAGCGGUGAAAUGCGUAGAUAUCUGGAGGAACACCGGUGGCGAAGGCGGCAUCCUGGACCGGUAUUGACGCUGAGGCGCGAAAGCCAGGGGAGCAAACGGG
rnacentral:rRNA from 1 species